AACCUAGCACACCUGCGGUGUGUACCUGCGGAGGGAUCAUUAACAAGCUGUGGGAGAUCGAUCAAUUUGAUCUCACACCUGGCCAACCUUGUUAACCUUAAAUAUAUUGCUUUGGUGAGCAGGGCUCACCAAAGUCAAACCCUAAACUCUUGAUUGUUUCUGCUGUCUGAGCAUGCAAGUGCAAAAUUUAGUUAAAAACUUUCAACAAUGGAUCU
rnacentral:misc_RNA from 1 species